GACGAACGCUGGCGGCGUGCUUAACACAUGCAAGUCGAACGGAAAGGCCUUGCUGUUUUCGUGUGUUCGAGUUGCUAACGGGUGAGUAACUCGUGAGUAACCUGCCUUUGCCUUUGGGAUAACUUCAGGAAACUGGGGCCUAUUCCUGAUAGGUGCUCCUGCUGCAUGGUGUGGGUUGGAAAGUUUCGGCGGUUUGGGCUGGACUCGCGUCUUAUCAGCUUGUUGGUGGGGUAGUGGCUUACCAAGGCUUUGACGGGUCGCCGGACUGAGAGGGUGACUGGGCACAUAGGGACAGGGAAGGGACCAAGAGGCAUACGGGAGGAAGCAGUGGGAGAUAUAGCGAAAAGGGCGGAGGCAGGAUGGAGCAACGCCGGGUGGGGGAUGACGGCCAUUGGGUUGGAAACGGCUUUCGGCGAAGAGGAAGAAGGAGUGACGGUAAUGGAUAAGGAAGCAACGGCUAACUACGUG
rnacentral:rRNA from 1 species